UGACUNGAGUGCAGAAGGGGAGAGUGGAAUUCCAUGUGUAGCGGUGAAAUGCGUAGAUAUAUGGAGGAACACCAGUGGCGAAAGCGGCUCUCUGGUCUGUCACUGACGCUGAGGCUNGAAAGCGUGGGUAGCGAACAGGAUUAGAUACCCUGGUAGUNCACGCCGUAAACGAUGAGUGCUAGGUGUUAGGCCCUUUCCGGGGCUUAGUGCCGGAGCUAACGCAAUAAGCACUCCGCCUGGGGAGUACGACCGCAAGGUUGAAACUCAAAGGAAUUGACGGGGGCCCGCACAAGCGGUGGAGCAUGUGGUUUAAUUCGAAGCAACGCGAAGAACCUUACCAGGUCUUGACAUCCCGAUGCUAUUCUUAGAGAUAGGAAGUUACUUCGGUACAUCGGAGACAGGUGGUGCAUGGUUGUCGUCAGCUCGUGUCGUGAGAUGUUGGGUUAAGUCCCGCAACGAGCGCAACCCUUAUUGUUAGUUGCCAUCAUUAAGUUGGGCACUCUAGCGAGACUGCCGGUAAUAAACCGGAGGAAGGUGGGGAUGACGUCAAAUCAUCAUGCCCCUUAUGACCUGGGCUACACACGUGCUACAAUGGUCGGUACAACGAGUUGCGAGCCGGUGACGGCAAGCUAAUCUCUGAAAGCCGAUCUCAGUUCGGAUUGGAGGCUGCAACUCGCCUCCAUGAAGUCGGAAUCGCUAGUAAUCGCGGAUCAGCACGCCGCGGUGAAUACGUUCCCGGGCCUUGUACACACCGCCCGUCACACCACGAGAGUUUGUAACACCCGAAGUCGGUGAGGUAACCUUUUAGGGGCCAGCCGCCUAAGGUGGGA
rnacentral:rRNA from 1 species